UACAGGGGGGGCAAGCGUUGUUCGGAAUUACUGGGCGUAAAGGGCCAGUAGGCGGCCAACUAAGUCACACGUGAAAUCCCCAGGCUUAACCUGGGAACUGCGUGUGAUACUGGAUGGCUUGAAUUAGGGAGAGGGAUGCAGAAUUCCAGGUGUAGCGGUGAAAUGCGUAGAUAUCUGGAGGAAUACCGGUGGCGAAGGCGGCAUCCUGGACCGACAUUGACGCUGAGGAGCGAAAGCUAGGGGAGCAAACGGG
rnacentral:rRNA from 1 species